UUCUGAGAUACCACCUCAUUUCUAACGACUUAAUAAUAACUAAUUUCUCAACAACUAAAUAAAUUCCCAUGCAAACACACACAGUUGAACAGCUUUUCUGUCUGUAUACAAAACUAAACCCAGAAAAAGGUGGCAUAGCCUGGGGGGGUGACUCUCAGACUGAGGGAGAUUUCAAGGAUGUUUCAAGAGGUCAAGUGAAUGCCUAAGAACUCAGAACAUCAGACCAAAAAUGUACCUUUAGUUGCUCAACAUUCCCUGUUGAAAAUGAAAAGUGCAGGCCCUUAUUUCUGGUCAUUAAAGAAACUAUCUGAAGACUUUGGCUCCAGCUUUCCUUCUCAAUCCUUGCUGCAACUUUGUCCUUUUCAAUCAGGCAAAAUUUUGCUGCUCUCUUUUAAUUUGAGCAGCACCAGAUUCCCCAAGAAACUCUCACUGGAUAACAGGCAAAGAUGCAAUAGAGUUGCCUUAGUCAAAUGAAUAUUACAUGAGGUGACAGGCAUAAUAUACCCAAAACCACACUCACUCUCAUGUACCAGCUAGUGUUUCCCUGCUAUAAAUAUGUUGGAAGGCUUAAAUUAUUUUAUGGCUCUAGAAAUAAAACUUGGAAAGGCCAGAUUCCAUUUAUUCUGCUGCAGGUAUAAAUAAGUGCAGAGGCACUGAAGCCUAGAGAAGCACCUGCAGCCUCUUGAGCAGGUGAUAGUGCUCGCAGGUGCUGCAGGGGCCCUUGCUUUGGCUCAUGAGUUAACAGGGGCUGCUGGUUUGGGAAAUGAGCUGAGGCCCCUUCAUAACCCAUGUGUGAGCUGUAGGGAAAGUUAAUGAGGCUGGUCUAUAGCACAGAGGUUCCUCAGCCCAGAGGAGAGCUCUGGAAAGGUGAUUUCUUGGUGGAUAAAAAGAUGCCUUGGGCUGAGAUGUGAGGAAAAUGGAGGAAUUGGACACCUAUGUGUGGAAUUCUGCCUUGCAUGGAGCAUCUGUAUGAGGUAUGUGCCUGGUCACUUCAUUUUGCAAUCAACAGUGCCUCACUGUGUUCUCACUGGUUUUAAAAAGUUUGCUUUUUUCUGACAACCCUGGAGGUGGAUGAGGUGGUUUUGAGUCUGAUGGAUUUUGGAGUUCCCAAGAACAUCUGUUGUGCUACAGUUGUUCAGAAGCUGAAGUGGUAGCUGUGAUUCUCCUGCCCCUGUGGGAGCAAACCUGAAUAGCAAUUUCAUUUCAAGAUGCCCCUAGUGCAAGCUCAGCUGGCCCAGUUGGCUGUGGCUUUAGUGCCCAGGCAGUGCCAAGGGAGGCAGCAACUAAGGAGGGGGUGCAGAAGCAGUGUGCCAUUCUUACAGAAGGGUGGAUACAUCUUACACAUCUUGGGGUCCUCUCAGGAGCCCAAAUUUUGUGAGGCAGGGUCCUGCUUCAUUAGUAAUGUCACCAAUGGCUAGAGACUGAUUUGGUCCAGGUUUAUUUUUUUUGUAAGGCCAUUUAUCUUAGCUGUGCAGAGUGAAGGUUGGUGAAGCUCUUCCCUGUCUACU
rnacentral:lncRNA from 1 species